rnacentral:snRNA from 2 species
GUCAUUACAAACGAGGACAUCCGAUAAAAUUGGAAUGAUACAGAGAAGAUUAGCAUGGCCGUUGAGUAAGGAUGACACGCACAAAUCGAGAAAUGGUAUUAGAGCCU